UAUGGCGUGUUGCUGUUUGUAGCUGCAGAGGUUGGGAUUUUGAAAAUAUCUUUAUUGUUCCAAAUAAAUUUGUCAACGGAUGGAGUUUAAAUAAAGAGCUGGUCGAUUUGAAUCUGAUUCAAGACUAGGUGCCAAUGGAGCUUCCCAACUACAGUCGCCAGCUGAUGCAGCAGUUGCACGCAUUGCGGAAGGAUGGGCACUUCUGCGACUGCACUAUCUUGAUUGGACAGGCACUCCACCGGGCCCACAAGCUGGUUCUGGCUGCCUCAAGUCUGCUUUUCAAGUCUCUGAUGGAGGGCUCUGACACCAUCUCCAUCGACUCUUCUGUUGUCACCUCCCAGGAGUUCUCCUGCCUCCUGGAAAUGAUCUACACAGGCAAGCUGCCGCCUGGCAAGCAUAAUUUCACCAGGAUCAUUGCAGCGGCCGACAGCCUCCAGAUGUUUGACGUAGCUGUAAGUUGCAAAAACAUUCUUAAUGACCUCAUCAAGCCACCGGCUACUACAGAACCACCGGCUGAUGCCACAGAUCUGGCCUUGGGAGGAUCAGAGCACACAUCUUCCCCUGUGGUUGCUGUUCCAAGCUCCAGUGAGGCAGCCGAGGUUUUCCUCGAUCCCACCCCAGCAGCAUCUGAGGAGGCAAUGGAGGGGGGAUCCGCUGAGGCCACAUGUGAGAAGACUGGGAAUCCCCUCAUGGAUGAGGAAGAGAAUCCGGCCAAAAAUGGAGAUAGUGCCAUUCCAAGAGUUUGGGAAAGCAGUGUUGAAAAUUCUCCUCCCUGUAAAAGAGGCCGCCUGGCCCUUACUGUGACUAAAGAGGAAAGUGAGGAAUACUUGGAGUUCUUGCAACAGAACAAAAAUAAGAUUGCUGGAGCCAUUGGAAAUGUGCAACCGGUGAUUAAUGCUGUGGAAAAGUGGGAGGAAAUUUCAAGUGUGGAGAAACUGGUUAUUUUAGACUGCUGUAAAGGAGAGCCAGAUGUGACUGAUAUUUUCCAUAGUCUGCUGAAUUAUGUGGUCAGUAAAAAGCUGUCAACACGGACCCUGCUGACAUUACUGGAAGCCCUGAGAGAAUUCUGCCCAGAUCUGGCUACAGUGCUGGAGAAUCCACUCCAGGGGGAGCAAAACGUAGAACGAGAUGCACAUCAGGUUCCUGAUGAGAAGCCAGCAUCGCGCUUGCUUGCGGAUCACGCAGAGGAAUUGAUUGUUAGCAUCUCUCACCUGAGGCCAAUCAUUGAGGUGUUGGACAAUAUGAAGGAAGAUUUUCUCACUGAAACUGAAAAGCAGACUGUCUUCCAGUGUUGCCAAGAUGUGUGCACCAGGGAGGCCAUUCAGAGUCUCCUGAAUAAAGUGAAGGUGGAGAAAGUGCUGGAGGAGAGCAGCUUUCUGAAGCUGCUGCACGCUGUCAAAUCAAGCUUCCCUGUCUUGCAGCAGCUGCUGGACACAACAGUGGCAGAAGGGACCACAUUUCAGAGCAAAGAAGAUAGAGGCCAAGAAGAAUAUGAAACAGAUCUUCUGAGAAGAUACCAUCAGAGGCUCUCGGAGUCGAUCUGUGAUCCCCAGCCUCUUCUUGAAAGUCUAGCAGCAGCUGAUGAUGUGUCUGCAGAAGAUCAAAAGUGGAUGAAGCAGGUGCUAGAGGAGGAAGCUAGCCCUCGCUGUUUGGACAAGCUGUUGUCUCUGGCUGUGGAGAAGGGCUCAGUGCAGGUGCUGGCAGUGUGGAAACUUCUGGUCAGGACAGAAAUCCCAGCUCUUAGCCUCCUAAUCCAAGACAUCAGGAAGGACCCUGAAGCUGACCGAUUAAUCCAUUCUGUUUUAGAUCUAGAGAGUCAGUUGUUGGAAAUUCUCUCAAGACACAAGGAUUUGAUCACAGAAACCAUCAGCAGCCUCGGCGCUUUACUAGACAGUGUAACUGGAGAGCCAGAAUGCCCAUCUGGAGAUGCAAUUGAGUUCAUAAAAAACUGCUCAACACAGGUCAAUCUCAAUGAAUCAGUGAAGACUCUCCUGGACAAGAUUCUUCAUGAGAAAUCGAUGGCUGCACAACCUUUCUGUAAGCUAGUCAGCCUUAAUAAGGGAUUCUUUCCAUCUCUUCGGCCUCUCACAGACGAGCUGGAGCAGGCAGAAAGAGUGGCGGAUCGGAAGAGCAAGCUUGAAGAGCCGCAGACAGGGGAGGGUGAGAAAGAUCCGGGCGAUGGGGUAGAAAAAAAGGGAGGAAAGAAGGGAGGAGCGAAGCAGAGCUUCCCCUGCGAGUGGUGUGGGAAGACCUUUGAAUUCAAGUGCCGGAUGGAGGUGCACCGCAAGAGGUGCCGGCUCUCCGAGCAGACACAGCUGAAGUGCCCACAAUGCCCCGAGAAGAUGUCCACCCCCAAAGCCCUGCAGCAGCAUCUUGCCAAGUCCCAUGGCAGCCCGCCUCGCAAGAGGAAGAAGAGACGCCAUGAGCCGGUGACCUGUGAUAUCUGCGGGAAGAGCUUUGCCCACCAGUCAGGCAUGCUUUACCACAAGCGUACAGAUCACUUUGAUGAGAAACCCUAUUCAUGUGAAGAGUGUGGAGCUAAGUUUGCAGCCAACUCCACACUGAAGAACCACAUGAGGCUCCACACAGGAGAGAAGCCCUUCUUCUGCAAGCACUGCGAUAUGACCUUCACCCAGGCUGCAGCACUGGCCUACCACUACAAAAAGAAGCACUCUGAAGGGAAGAUGUAUGCCUGCCAGUACUGCGAGGCUGUGUUUGCCCAGUCCAUUGAGCUGACCCGCCACGUCCGCACUCACACAGGAGACAAACCGUAUGUGUGCAGGGAGUGUGGUAAAGGCUUCAGCCAAGCCAAUGGGCUGUCAAUGCACCUGCAGACCUUCCACAAUAUUGAUGACCCCUACGACUGCCAGAAGUGCCGGAUGAGUUUCUCAUGUCUGGAGGAGCACCGGAAGCACAUCCAGGAAUCGCACCCCAAGGAAUUCCACCCCUGUGUGGUGUGUGGGAAGAUCUUCAAUGCUGCCGCGCUGCUCGAGAAACACAUGGUCAUCCACGUGGGGGGGAAGCCUUACAGCUGUGAGAUCUGCAACAAGGCCUACCAGCAAGUCUCUGGGCUGUGGUAUCAUAACCGUACCAAUCACCCUGAGGUGUUUGCUGGACAGAGUCAUCGCUCUGUGAAGAUUUCACAAUUCCAGUGCUCAUCAUGCGAUAAGACAUUCCCCAGCAGUGAGACUCUCAGCAAACAUGAAAAAGCCAUGCAUCCAGAUGUAAAGCUUUUCAAGUGUCAAGACUGUGAAGAUGUUUUCCCCGAUGCAGAGUUACUGAAGACGCACACUAAGGAAAAACAUGAAGGAGCCCAGCUGUUUAACUGUCUGUACUGUCCAUCAUCAUUCCAAACCACGGCAGAACUGCAGCAGCACCUCUGCGUGCAGCACUUUAACCAGCAGGGGGAGGCCUUUGGAUGUGGACACUGUGACUUGAUCUUCCCAUCGCAGCAAGAACUACAGGAGCAUUUCCUCUCCCAGCAUCCCGCUGAGCUUCAGUCCAGCUCUGAGGCUUCUUCAGCGCAAAUGGUGAUCAGAGCCGCAGAGCAGCCAGGGGCGGCGGAGCAGAUGAUCACACUGGAGCAGUCCCAGGUCGGGAGCCCUCAGGUCUAUGUGGCAUUGGCGGACUCCCAGAAUUCCACCUCUGGCUCCGAGAUUGUAGCUGUAAACGUGGAGGACCUUCUGGAUGGCACCGUCACUUUCAUUUGCGAGGACACGCAAUGAGGCUGUCGUGGUUCAGGUUCUUCUGAACUGUGCCUGACUGAGCAGGGACUGCUGCACUGGGACACUUGCUGUGAUGUUACAGUCAGUGCCGCGGGGGAGACGGAGCCUAUCCUGGCAAGCAGUGAGCAUAAGGUAGUAUACUCUGUACCACCAUGUCUCCCAUCAUAGAUAUUUUGCCAUAUAAAUAAUUUACCCACAGACACCUUCUGAAAAGUCUAAGAAUUCAUCUGAAGAAUGUUGUCUGCUACUCACAAGUUGCAGUUCCUUCUCUUUCCCAGUUCAUAGGAAAUGUGGAGGAUUUGCAGGAAUAGGAAGAUGAAACUUUGCUGUUGAUUCACACCUUUAUUAGAAAGGUAAUACAUACAAUGACCAUUUAAUUUUUGGUAUACUGCAUAUUACAUAUAACUUUGCUGUCAUUUCACAGUUUUAUUACAGAGGUAAUAGAUACCUAUAAACCAGGCUUCAGUGCACCUUUAGAUCUGGAAGUAUGAAUUUCAAGCAUAGUUAAAAAGCAAUAGAUAAUAGAUCAUAUAUAGAUAAUGAAAAGGAAAUAGGUGAUCUAUGAAAAUGAAUAUUUCACUUAGGUAUUCAUCAAGAACAUAUCAGCAACAUGCCCAGAAAUCAAUAACAAGUCUAAAAGAUGCAGAUGUGCUACAGGAAGGAGAAGCCUUUAAAGUAAAUUCCAGGUCCUGAUGGUAUUCUACCAUUUCUAUUUAAAACAACAAAUAUUCUGAGGAUUUAUGUGGUUAAAUUUGAAUAAGGGAAAAGAAAAAAUAUGUUAUAAAAAUGACACUGCUGGCAGUUCACAGUUAUUUGCAGGGAUAUCUUAUAAUGGAAAAGAAAUCAGUAAAACUGCACAAUGUUUUGGGCUUUAUUACCAAAGGAGAUUUUAAACUUGCAAGUUAGGUGGGUGAGAACCUGAGAACACGAUAAAUCACCAUUCUAGCUUAAUUUGGUCCCAGUUCAUAAUCGAUCCCAGGAUCUUGUCCAGUUGUUCUUCGAAGGAAGCUGGAGUAUAAAUUCCAAUAAUGUGGGUGAAUAACUAAUCCAAGAAUCCCACAACCUUUCACAAAACCUUUAUUGUUUUUUUAAACGACAUCAUUCACAGUUGUUGGUUUGUGUUUUACUGUUGAUCUGAAGUCAAUGCCUGUGAAGCUUUUGAAUACAGUGCUCAAGACUAGGGGUGCAGUUCUUUUACCUUGGCAGUGUAGGCCCAUCAUCCCUAGUGUGCCUGGGUUGCUCAUCUUUUAACUGAUUCACAAGCAGCAUAACAGCAUUUUUGUAACAUAGUAACCAAAUCUGUAUUCAAAAGCUUUACAAAAACAUAACACCAUUCUUUGAUUUAAAUGCUGAUCUUAGAUAAUUCUGUUUGCUUUUAUAUUGCUUUUAAACAUAGUCUGGGGAAGAGAGUGAUGUAUCCAGCAUCAUUUUUGCAGUGAUUUCUACUGAUGUCUUUGUGCUCUACAGAAUGUCACUUUUCCUCCAUUAUUGCUUUCCUAAAUUAUACAUGCUAUUUUGCACACAAAACUAUGCAUAGAUUGACCUCUUUUCUUUUAGUAUAUUGUUGAAAAGGGGGAGAAGGAGAAGAAUGUUCCACACAAAGACCCAUUGUCCUUGUUGGGUUCCUGACAUUCCAGCCACGGAGGUGGUGAGAUUGCCCAGCAAAAUAAAAAUGAGCCACACUGUAAGACUGGGUUUGAUAACCAAUUCCUCAUGCCAAUACUCUCGAGUGGAAGUUUAGCCAGAAUUAUACAGUGGUUACAUGUGCUUUGCUGAGAUAACAUCCACUUCAGCUACCUGAGAACUGCACCUAUCCUAGCACAAAACAUGCCCAUUGCUAGUCCUGAUUGGAUUAUAUGGGAUGGGGAUGACAGCAUAGCGAUGCACUCUGAGUGAUAAAGAAAACGCUCACACUGAGUGCUGAAAAAAGCACAGCUUCCUGCUUUGCUGUUUUGCAAUUCUGCACACCAGGUGAUUUCUAGGCCUUUGUGGAAAAGACAUUGAUAAAGCUGACCUAAAAGUUGUCUGUCUUUGCCUAUCAGCUCUCAUAUUGACUGCCUCAAAAUACUGCAUAAGAAGAAAAUGCAUGUAAAAAGAAACUGACUUUAUCCUACCUUCAUAAAUAAGUAAAUUGAGUUUUGGAAAUGUAUUUUUGACCAUUUCACACUUAUGUUGAAAACUUUGGUUUAAUUAAAAUAUAAAAAAAUCAAUGAGACCAGGUGUUCUUCCAAUUCUCAUAAUUUUCUCUCACUUAUCCUUUCAUGUUAUUUAUACUUUGGAUACCAUGAUGAUUUAAUUACUGCUCCCUAACCCUAUUUAACUCACAUACCCAGUUUAGCCUCCAGAAAAGUUUUAGUUUUGCAAUGUUCUUUUCCUUUUAGCUGACCAAGAUCUACUGGCAAAUUUUAACUUCAGGAAUAAAUGUAAGCAAUUCAGAAAUUGCAGUGUUUAAAAAGUUUAACAAUGUAUCCAAAACUCAAAGACUGUAGGUGCCUCAGCGCUGGGGAAUGUGGACUGCGGGUGCUGCAGUAUUGGUGGGGAUGAGGACUGCAU